rnacentral:rRNA from 1 species
GUUGAUCCUGCCAGUAUUAUAUGCUUCUGUCAAAGAUUAAGCCAUGCAUGUCUAAGCAUAGCUAAUACUUGACGGGUAACGCCCUCAGUCGAGUGUAUUCCCCCGGGAGUAUAAUCUACUGAGGAGGGGAGGAUCGUUCUGGUCCUUUCAAUAUAUUACCACUUCUUUGUGAAUAAGGGUGGAUUAUAUGCCAAGAGAAUUGUAGAAAUCGAAAGAUUUUCACAAGUCAUCAUUAAGAAUAUCUGACCUAUCAACUGGUUGUUGGUAAGGUAGUGGCUUACCAAGGUGAUAACGGGUAACGAGGAAUAAGGGUUCGACAUCGGAGAGGGAGCUUUAGAAAUGGCUACCACUUCUAAGGAAGGCAGCAGGCGCGAAAAUUACCCAAUCUUAACAACUGAAGGAGGUAGUGACGACAAUUAACGCUUUCCCUCGCAUUUUGUGAGGAUUGCCGGAAUGAUCACGACAUAAACCAUCGUGAGAAAGCGAUUGGAGGGCAAGUCUGGUGCCAGCAGCCGCGGUAAUUCCAGCUCCAAUAGUGUAUUGUAAAGUUGUUGUGAUUAAAACGCUCGUAGUUGAAUGUAAUCAAUCGAGGCAUGAUUUACGCUCUCUGGCGUUUGAGCUUGCUCAUUGUCAGUAGGGCCGCAAUCAAGUAAUGUCUCACUAUAAGCGGGAGUUUGAUUCAGUUCCAAACUCUUUUACUUUGAUUAAAUCAAGGUGCUUAAAGCAAAAUCUUCUGUUAAUGAAUGAUGAAGCAUGGUAUAAAACGAAAAACAGAACAGAAAUCAAAAAUGAAUUAUGGGGAUGGUUCGCCAUUCGAAUAUUUCAGUUUUUUGUUUUGUUUAAAACAAGAUUAAGAGAAAUGAUUAGGGUGAUUUAGAUAGGAACGGGAGAGGUGGAAUUCCAUGAUCGUUUCGAGAUAAACGAGAGCGAAAGCAUUUCACUGAAUUCAUUUCAUUAAUCAAGAACGAAAGUCAGGGAAUCAAAGACGAUUAGAUACCGUCGUAGUCCUGACCAUAAACGAUGUCAACUAAGGAUUGGAUAAGAAAAUUCUGAAGAUUGGGUUUCUAAUAUCUUUUGGCGACAGCUAACAGAUUCUGAAUCCCGCUUCAAUUCUUCCCUUAUUCAGGACUUGAUGAGAAAUCAUUAAGUGAAUGGACUUCAGGGGGAGUAUGGUCACAAGGCUGAAACUUAAAGGAAUUGACGGAAGGGCACACCAGGAGUGGAGCCUGCGGCUUAAUUUGACUCAACACGGGAAAACUUACCAAGACCGAACGGUGUAAGGAAUGACAGGUUACUGGGUCUUUCAUGAUUCAUCGGGGAGU